GGAUCAUCCAUCAUCACAUCGAGGGAUCAGCAAAGGGUACCGUGUUGUGCUUCCUCACGAGUCACGUACGCAGUUUACAGGAAUUUGACCCCAACGACUACUCUCCACUCACUCCUGCCCACUUCACUAUUGGCCGGCCGCUGACUGCACCUGCAGAGAGUGAUUUUACCGCUGCAACCACGCACACACUCAAUCGUUACCAGCGAGUUGAACAGCUGAGGCAGACAUUUUGGAGGAGAUGGUCUACAGAGUACAUAUCAGAGCUUCAGAAACGUACUAAAUGGCAACAGAAAACUGAAGACUUGCAAACUGGAACAUUAGUUGUCAUAAAGGACGAUAACCUUCCGCCGCUGAAAUGGCGGUUAGGACGCAUAAUAACUCUGAUUUCAGGCAGUGACGGCGUACCAAGGGUUGCUGUCAUUCGGACGGCCACAGGCAUCAUACACAGGGCAUUCUCAAAGAUAUGCCCACUUCCGGUCGCUGAGGUGCCAGGUUCGAGGCUCGGCGCGUGACAUGACGUGAGCUGAGAUGUUGAGAGGGAGUCUCUCAAGGCCCGCCGGAAUGUUAAGAAGAGCCAUCUAUUGGAGCGCGUGAGAAGCUCCAACCAAAGAUCAAUGGCAAUAUUAUCACCGAGCACCGCAUCGAUUACGUCACGCGAUGUCAAGAAACCACAACAGAUGGCGCUGAAGCACACCUAUAAAAACGAUUGCACGGACGCUUAACGUCUCUCAUUCUCAUUUGAACUUUCAACUGAAAUAUUGUAAACGCUUUAUUGUAAAGUAAUAAAUCCCAGUAUAUCUUCAAA